rnacentral:lncRNA from 1 species
AAGACUUGGAUGAAUGGUCUUGAUGGAGAGUAUGCAUCCUACUGCGAAAUCUUCAUUACUGUUAUGCGCUUUCAUGGAUUUAGGCUUCUCUUCUUUUCGGCUUGUAGUUCACGUGAUUUUUGAGGUUUUUGUAAUGGAGUAUCAGUUUCUGAAGAGAAGAGACAGAAGAGAGGGAAAAAAUGGGGGAGGGAAUGUACGGAAGCUCAAUCGACCAAAAGAAAAAUCGUGUGGUUUGGAAAGGGAAAAAGAACAAAAAAAAGGAAAAGAAAAUGAAGGACAAAGAAGAUAGACCACAAACAGUGCUCUACAAAGGUCUCCCCUCAGCUCACCUGCUCUCUGACA